rnacentral:rRNA from 1 species
GACGAACGCUGGCGGCGUGCUUAACACAUGCAAGUCGAACGGAAAGGCCCUGCUUUUGUGGGGUGCUCGAGUGGCGAACGGGUGAGUAACACGUGAGUAACCUGCCCUUGACUUUGGGAUAACUUCAGGAAACUGGGGCUAAUACCGGAUAGGAGCUCCUGCUGCAUGGUGGGGGUUGGAAAGUUUCGGCGGUUGGGGAUGGACUCGCGGCUUAUCAGCUUGUUGGUGGGGUAGUGGCUUACCAAGGCUUUGACGGGUAGCCGGCCUGAGAGGGUGACCGGCCACAUUGGGACUGAGAUACGGCCCAGACGCCUACGGGAGGCAGCGGUGGGGAAUAUUGCACAAUGGGCGGAAGCCUGAUGCAGCAACGCCGCGUGCGGGAUGACGGCCUUCGGGUUGUAAACCGCUUUCGCCUGUGACGAAGCGUGAGUGACGGUAAUGGGUAAAGAAGCACCGGCUAACUACGUG